rnacentral:rRNA from 1 species
GAUGAACGCUGGCGGCGUGCCUAAUACAUGCAAGUCGAGCGAACAGAUGAGGAGCUUGCUCCUCUGACGUUAGCGGCGGACGGGUGAGUACCACGUGGAUAACCUACCUAUAAGACUGGGAUAACUUCGGGAAACCGGAGCUAAUACCGGAUAAUAUAUUGAACCUCAUGGUUCAAUAGUGAAAGACGGUUUUGCUGUCACUUAUAGAUGGAUCCGCGCCGCAUUAGCUAGUUGGUAAGGUAACGGCUUACCAAGGCAACGAUGCGUAGCCGACCUGAGAGGGAGAUCGGCCACCCUGGAACUGAGACACGGUCCAGACUCCUACGGGAGGCAGCAGUAGGGAAUCUUCCGCAAUGGGCGAAAGCCUGACGGAGCAAAGCCGCGUGAGUGAUGAAGGUCUUCGGCUCGUAAAACUCUGUUAUUAGGGAAGAACAAAUAUGUAAGUAACUAUGCACGUCUUGACGGUACCUAAUCAGAAAGCCACGGCUAACUACGUG